UUUGGGUCGAAGAAAAUUGGCAUGCAGUUCAUUUUGUGAAAUUCGGGAAUAUUGUUAGCCAAUGUCGGAUAAUCACUGCCUGUGGCAUUAGUUAACCUUUCACUGAUGUUUUGUUGGCACAAACAGCAUAAUUCCCAAUUGGUUGGACUAGAUACAGGCCUACUAUCUGCCUGUGACGAAGGCGUGGAGUGUAUUUCUGUCUGUGUGUCCAUUGCUGUUGUCAAGGCCGAAGGAUUAUCCUUAUAUACCACCUAUUAAAGACAACUUACUAUACUACUCUACACUUUAAAGUAUGGGAUACAACUGGGCUCAGAUAAUAACAAGAUCACUAUCCUACCCCCAGCCCGAUCAUUCAUCCAAUGCUAUUUAAUUCCUGUGUGAGCUGUACACCUUCCAGAAGACUAAAGCCCCAUCUUCCUUGGCUCGGCUCUCCCGCGCUGGCACAUCCUGUCAAUUCAGGUGCAACUGUUUAACUUUAACUUGGGGCAAGCUAAACAGCAUUUAUGAAACUAGACAAUUUAUUUAGACAAAUUUACUAGCUAGCAUUGAACCCCAUGCUGAGUCUCACAGCUAUAGUGUCAACCAGUGUGCCCUGGUAGUGUAAUGACACUACACAAUAUAUUAUUGAUUUGUCAUGUUAUAUGGUGUGGCCAUUUUUAAAACAAAUAUGGCCUUUCAUAAUAGCUCAUGUGUAUGAUAUAUAAAUAACCCUGAUCUAUUAUGAAUAAAUAUAUGACAAACUUCCAAACAGCAGCUAUAAUGACCAACAAAAUACUGAAUUUUUCCCAUUUCUAUUUCUGGGCGGCCAACUUUUAAAAUGGUUGAAAUCUGCUUAGCCAAAGGUUGAUUCUAAAAUAUGGUCAUAUAAAGGUCAUAUGUACCAAAUUAUAUGGUUGUAUCACCAUUUUGAUCAUCCUUUCAAAAAUCAGCAAUUUAGAGUGUGACUAGGCCGCCAUAUUGGAUAUUUGCUGCCAUAUUGGAACCUAAUAUGUUGUUUUUAAUUGGUAUAAAUACCUAAAGCAUAUUAUAUUAUUUCAAAGGUAGGGUAAAUGUAUGAUUUAUAGCUGCAGCAGAGUGAUAGAGUCUAAAACGUUGACCUGGUGGCAGCUAUUUCUAAAAGCUGGCGGCCAUCUUGAAAAAUGGCGCCGCCCAGGUGGCCAGAGGUUAUAUUAUGAUUAGUAGUGGUAUAAAGGAUCUCUGUACCAAAUUUCAUGCUUGUAUCACCAUUUGCACUAUUAUCUCAUAUUCCCGCUCCACUAUAUAGCUCAGUUGUUGAUAUAUCAAAAAAAAAAAAAGAUAUUAAAGCUGAAGGGAGAGUAUUUUAUCAAAGCAGUAUUACUGACUGUCAAGUUUGCAGGUAAAUCAGAAAAAAUGUUGUCUGGCCAAUUUAUUGACAUAAUGUUGUAUCAAAACAAGCUGCAAAAGUCUAAGGUGAAACUGCUUACGGACGCAAAAUCAUAAAAAUUCACGUGAUUCUGCCAAAAUCUCUGUCCUUUGUGGAGAGGAAGGUAAUGAGGCAAAGGUAAGAAUUUCCAUCAAUUCAACUAUCACAAAGACUGUUGAUACAAAAUAUCCACACACAAUAACAAACCCUCAUUUAACAAUGUGUGAAUAUCAACCAUCAAGCCAUGGCAGCACAAGACGAGGCCGCUGCCACAGAUGCGAGGAGAUGGAGCAUCUGUUGGGCUCUGAGGCAUUUCAGAGGUGUAACUUAAGGAAUGAUGAAUAAUGAGACAGGCCGAUAAUAUUGACUGAUAUUCAGCAGUCUUAAAAUUAUUGCCAUCGGACGUUUUUUUCACCAAUAGCCGAUAAAAUUAGUUUUUUUUUAAAACAUGCUUGUUUGGCUCAUAAACAGGCAACUCACUCUGCCUAAAGUCAUAACUCGUAGAUGGGUAACAAUGUCCCGCCUAAAGUCACCGUUGAUUGGCUACACAGACAAGGUAAAGGAUGUGGAGCAAUCACUUAAGGAAACCCUGGAAUUUUUUUUUCUAAAAAUAGAUUUAUUCAGCAGAAAAUAUCAAUAAGUUCAGGAACCCAGACAUACUGCACUUUCUUCUAAUCCAGGGGUGGGCAAUUAUGUGCCAUGAAGGUCCGAGGGGCUGCAGGUUUUCUUUCAAACCAGAAACUCCACCAGGUGAUUUCACUGAUUACCUUGCCUUCAAGCAGUUGCAGGGACUAAUCAGUGCGAUCACCUGUUGGAGUUUUGGGUUGGAAAGAAAACCUGCAGCCUCUCCGCCCUCCAUAGCACAUGAUUGCCCACCCCUGUUCUAAUCCCAUUGAAAAAUACAGUAGCUACGCCAGGUGAGGCUCAACAACCCUAAGUGUUUACACAAGGUUCUGUGAGAGGCAGCUUCCCAAGACUGUGGACACUACGCACACCCAGAGGUGUAGUCACAACGCACACCUCAGUGUCCUCAGGCGUUCCUGGUUGGGCCUUUCUACCUCAGGGUGCACUGCUGAGUGACUGAGCCUUUAGGCGCUCCGUGUAUUUCUUUGGCACAGCAGAGGGAAGCCCCGCAGUGCAGCAGGGCAUCAAAAAAUUACAUCAUACUCUUGUUGUUCCUCUCCACGGAAAUCUUUAGUAAAAGGCGAAAGAUUUAUACGAUCUGAAGAGAAACAAGAGUGAACUGUACUCCGCAACCCUCAGUGUCCACAGCCAUUCCUGGUCGGGCCUUUCUACCUCACGGUGCACUGCUGCACUGCUGCACGUCAACAUUAACCAACCACGCGCAUCAAAGAGGAACUCCGGCAAGAGCUUUGGAGUGGUCCCAUCUGCCCUAACAACGAUUUAGUGUAAAGCUGUUUUCUAGGUGCCAAUAGCAACUCAAAGUCUGUUCUGCUAGGUUUCUCCAAAUACUGCCAGCUACUGUACCUAUUACGCUCACUUUUUUGCUUGUUAGCUCCACAAAAGCCCCGUGCAAAGAAGUUUAAAUCUCUGCCCCGCCUUGGUCAGAGAUACAGUCCUACAAUGUUUUCUCCCUCAACUGUUAUGACUUGUGUAACUACAGACAAAGACUUGAAGGGCAAAGGUGCAAAGAAAAGAAAAACAGAAGAGAUGGCUUUGAUGGCUCUCUCAUAGUCAUGAGCCCCGAUAUUACUGUAGAUCGGAGCGAUUCCGACCUUAUGACCGCGCUUUCUUCUGAUCCCAUUGAGAAAAUAGCUGCGGCACCUGAGGCCCAAGCAGCCCUAAAUGUUAACACAGGGUUCCGUGAGAGGCAUCUUUGUGAGGCAUUGGAUAGUAAGCCUACCUAGAGGUGCAGCGGCCGCAUCAGUGGCUGGGAGGUGACACAUCUGUUGGGCUCUGAGGCGACCCAGCGGUGUGACUGAGCCUUUAGGCGCUCCGUGUAUUUCUUUGGCACAGCAGAGGGAAGCCCCGCAGUGCAGCAGGGCAUCAAAAAAUUACAUCAUACUCUUGUUGUUCCUCUCCACGGAAAUCUUUAGUAAAAGGCGAAAGAUUUAUACGAUCUGAAGAGAAACAAGAGUGAACUGUACUCCGCAACCCUCAGUGUCCACAGCCAUUCCUGGUCGGGCCUUUCUACCUCACGGUGCACUGCUGCACUGCUGCACGUCAACAUUAACCAACCACGCGCAUCAAAGAGGAACUCCGGCAAGAGCUUUGGAGUGGUCCCAUCUGCCCUAACAACGAUUUAGUGUAAAGCUGUUUUCUAGGUGCCAAUAGCAACUCAAAGUCUGUUCUGCUAGGUUUCUCCAAAUACUGCCAGCUACUGUACCUAUUACGCUCACUUUUUUGCUUGUUAGCUCCACAAAAGCCCCGUGCAAAGAAGUUUAAAUCUCUGCCCCGCCUUGGUCAGAGAUACAGUCCUACAAUGUUUUCUCCCUCAACUGUUAUGACUUGUGUAACUACAGACAAAGACUUGAAGGGCAAAGGUGCAAAGAAAAGAAAAACAGAAGAGAUGGCUUUGAUGGCUCUCUCAUAGUCAUGAGCCCCGAUAUUACUGUAGAUCGGAGCGAUUCCGACCUUAUGACCGCGCUUUCUUCUGAUCCCAUUGAGAAAAUAGCUGCGGCACCUGAGGCCCAAGCAGCCCUAAAUGUUAACACAGGGUUCCGUGUGAGGCAUUGGAUAGUAAGCCUACCUAGAGGUGCAGCGGCCGCAUCAGUGGCUGGGAGGUGACACAUCUGUUGGGCUCUGAGGCGACCCAGCGGUGUGACUGAGCCUUUAGGCGCUCCGUGUAUUUCUUUGGCACAGCAGAGGGAAGCCCCGCAGUGCAGCAGGGCAUCAAAAAAUUACAUCAUACUCUUGUUGUUCCUCUCCACGGAAAUCUUUAGUAAAAGGCGAAAGAUUUAUACGAUCUGAAGAGAAACAAGAGUGAACUGUACUCCGCAACCCUCAGUGUCCACAGCCAUUCCUGGUCGGGCCUUUCUACCUCACGGUGCACUGCUGCACUGCUGCACGUCAACAUUAACCAACCACGCGCAUCAAAGAGGAACUCCGGCAAGAGCUUUGGAGUGGUCCCAUCUGCCCUAACAACGAUUUAGUGUAAAGCUGUUUUCUAGGUGCCAAUAGCAACUCAAAGUCUGUUCUGCUAGGUUUCUCCAAAUACUGCCAGCUACUGUACCUAUUACGCUCACUUUUUUGCUUGUUAGCUCCACAAAAGCCCCGUGCAAAGAAGUUUAAAUCUCUGCCCCGCCUUGGUCAGAGAUACAGUCCUACAAUGUUUUCUCCCUCAACUGUUAUGACUUGUGUAACUACAGACAAAGACUUGAAGGGCAAAGGUGCAAAGAAAAGAAAAACAGAAGAGAUGGCUUUGAUGGCUCUCUCAUAGUCAUGAGCCCCGAUAUUACUGUAGAUCGGAGCGAUUCCGACCUUAUGACCGCGCUUUCUUCUGAUCCCAUUGAGAAAAUAGCUGCGGCACCUGAGGCCCAAGCAGCCCUAAAUGUUAACACAGGGUUCCGUGAGAGGCAUCUUUGUGAGGCAUUGGAUAGUAAGCCUACCUAGAGGUGCAGCGGCCGCAUCAGUGGCUGGGAGGUGACACAUCUGUUGGGCUCUGAGGCGACCCAGCGGUGUGACUGAGCCUUUAGGCGCUCCGUGUAUUUCUUUGGCACAGCAGAGGGAAGCCCCGCAGUGCAGCAGGGCAUCAAAAAAUUACAUCAUACUCUUGUUGUUCCUCUCCACGGAAAUCUUUAGUAAAAGGCGAAAGAUUUAUACGAUCUGAAGAGAAACAAGAGUGAACUGUACUCCGCAACCCUCAGUGUCCACAGCCAUUCCUGGUCGGGCCUUUCUACCUCACGGUGCACUGCUGCACUGCUGCACGUCAACAUUAACCAACCACGCGCAUCAAAGAGGAACUCCGGCAAGAGCUUUGGAGUGGUCCCAUCUGCCCUAACAACGAUUUAGUGUAAAGCUGUUUUCUAGGUGCCAAUAGCAACUCAAAGUCUGUUCUGCUAGGUUUCUCCAAAUACUGCCAGCUACUGUACCUAUUACGCUCACUUUUUUGCUUGUUAGCUCCACAAAAGCCCCGUGCAAAGAAGUUUAAAUCUCUGCCCCGCCUUGGUCAGAGAUACAGUCCUACAAUGUUUUCUCCCUCAACUGUUAUGACUUGUGUAACUACAGACAAAGACUUGAAGGGCAAAGGUGCAAAGAAAAGAAAAACAGAAGAGAUGGCUUUGAUGGCUCUCUCAUAGUCAUGAGCCCCGAUAUUACUGUAGAUCGGAGCGAUUCCGACCUUAUGACCGCGCUUUCUUCUGAUCCCAUUGAGAAAAUAGCUGCGGCACCUGAGGCCCAAGCAGCCCUAAAUGUUAACACAGGGUUCCGUGAGAGGCAUCUUUGUGAGGCAUUGGAUAGUAAGCCUACCUAGAGGUGCAGCGGCCGCAUCAGUGGCUGGGAGGUGACACAUCUGUUGGGCUCUGAGGCGACCCAGCGGUGUGACUGAGCCUUUAGGCGCUCCGUGUAUUUCUUUGGCACAGCAGAGGGAAGCCCCGCAGUGCAGCAGGGCAUCAAAAAAUUACAUCAUACUCUUGUUGUUCCUCUCCACGGAAAUCUUUAGUAAAAGGCGAAAGAUUUAUACGAUCUGAAGAGAAACAAGAGUGAACUGUACUCCGCAACCCUCAGUGUCCACAGCCAUUCCUGGUCGGGCCUUUCUACCUCACGGUGCACUGCUGCACUGCUGCACGUCAACAUUAACCAACCACGCGCAUCAAAGAGGAACUCCGGCAAGAGCUUUGGAGUGGUCCCAUCUGCCCUAACAACGAUUUAGUGUAAAGCUGUUUUCUAGGUGCCAAUAGCAACUCAAAGUCUGUUCUGCUAGGUUUCUCCAAAUACUGCCAGCUACUGUACCUAUUACGCUCACUUUUUUGCUUGUUAGCUCCACAAAAGCCCCGUGCAAAGAAGUUUAAAUCUCUGCCCCGCCUUGGUCAGAGAUACAGUCCUACAAUGUUUUCUCCCUCAACUGUUAUGACUUGUGUAACUACAGACAAAGACUUGAAGGGCAAAGGUGCAAAGAAAAGAAAAACAGAAGAGAUGGCUUUGAUGGCUCUCUCAUAGUCAUGAGCCCCGAUAUUACUGUAGAUCGGAGCGAUUCCGACCUUAUGACCGCGCUUUCUUCUGAUCCCAUUGAGAAAAUAGCUGCGGCACCUGAGGCCCAAGCAGCCCUAAAUGUUAACACAGGGUUCCGUGAGAGGCAUCUUUGUGAGGCAUUGGAUAGUAAGCCUACCUAGAGGUGCAGCGGCCGCAUCAGUGGCUGGGAGGUGACACAUCUGUUGGGCUCUGAGGCCACCCAGCGGUGUGACUGAGCCUUUAGGCGCUCCGUGUAUUUCUUUGGCACAGCAGAGGGAAGCCCCGCAGUGCAGCAGGGCAUCAAAAAAUUACAUCAUACUCUUGUUGUUCCUCUCCACGGAAAUCUUUAGUAAAAGGCGAAAGAUUUAUACGAUCUGAAGAGAAACAAGAGUGAACUGUACUCCGCAACCCUCAGUGUCCACAGCCAUUCCUGGUCGGGCCUUUCUACCUCACGGUGCACUGCUGCACUGCUGCACGUCAACAUUAACCAACCACGCGCAUCAAAGAGGAACUCCGGCAAGAGCUUUGGAGUGGUCCCAUCUGCCCUAACAACGAUUUAGUGUAAAGCUGUUUUCUAGGUGCCAAUAGCAACUCAAAGUCUGUUCUGCUAGGUUUCUCCAAAUACUGCCAGCUACUGUACCUAUUACGCUCACUUUUUUGCUUGUUAGCUCCACAAAAGCCCCGUGCAAAGAAGUUUAAAUCUCUGCCCCGCCUUGGUCAGAGAUACAGUCCUACAAUGUUUUCUCCCUCAACUGUUAUGACUUGUGUAACUACAGACAAAGACUUGAAGGGCAAAGGUGCAAAGAAAAGAAAAACAGAAGAGAUGGCUUUGAUGGCUCUCUCAUAGUCAUGAGCCCCGAUAUUACUGUAGAUCGGAGCGAUUCCGACCUUAUGACCGCGCUUUCUUCUGAUCCCAUUGAGAAAAUAGCUGCGGCACCUGAGGCCCAAGCAGCCCUAAAUGUUAACACAGGGUUCCGGGAGGCAUCUUUGUGAGGCAUUGGAUAGUAAGCCUACCUAGAGGUGCAGCGGCCGCAUCAGUGGCUGGGAGGUGACACAUCUGUUGGGCAUGAGGCGACCCAGCGGUGUGACUGAGCCUUUAGGCGCUCCGUGUAUUUCUUUGGCACAGCAGAGGGAAGCCCCGCAGUGCAGCAGGGCAUCAAAAAAUUACAUCAUACUCUUGUUGUUCCUCCCCACGGAAAUCUUUAGUAAAAGGCGAAAGAUUUAUACGAUCUGAAGAGAAACAAGAGUGAACUGUACUCCGCAACCCUCAGUGUCCACAGCCAUUCCUGGUCGGGCCUUUCUACCUCACGGUGCACUGCUGCACUGCUGCACGUCAACAUUAACCAACCACGCGCAUCAAAGAGGAACUCCGGCAAGAGCUUUGGAGUGGUCCCAUCUGCCCUAACAACGAUUUAGUGUAAAGCUGUUUUCUAGGUGCCAAUAGCAACUCAAAGUCUGUUCUGCUAGGUUUCUCCAAAUACUGCCAGCUACUGUACCUAUUACGCUCACUUUUUUGCUUGUUAGCUCCACAAAAGCCCCGUGCAAAGAAGUUUAAAUCUCUGCCCCGCCUUGGUCAGAGAUACAGUCCUACAAUGUUUUCUCCCUCAACUGUUAUGACUUGUGUAACUACAGACAAAGACUUGAAGGGCAAAGGUGCAAAGAAAAGAAAAACAGAAGAGAUGGCUUUGAUGGCUCUCUCAUAGUCAUGAGCCCCGAUAUUACUGUAGAUCGGAGCGAUUCCGACCUUAUGACCGCGCUUUCUUCUGAUCCCAUUGAGAAAAUAGCUGCGGCACCUGAGGCCCAAGCAGCCCUAAAUGUUAACACAGGGUUCCGUGAGAGGCAUCUUUGUGAGGCAUUGGAUAGUAAGCCUACCUAGAGGUGCAGCGGCCGCAUCAGUGGCUGGGAGGUGACACAUCUGUUGGGCUCUGAGGCGACCCAGCGGUGUGACUGAGCCUUUAGGCGCUCCGUGUAUUUCUUUGGCACAGCAGAGGGAAGCCCCGCAGUGCAGCAGGGCAUCAAAAAAUUACAUCAUACUCUUGUUGUUCCUCUCCACGGAAAUCUUUAGUAAAAGGCGAAAGAUUUAUACGAUCUGAAGAGAAACAAGAGUGAACUGUACUCCGCAACCCUCAGUGUCCACAGCCAUUCCUGGUCGGGCCUUUCUACCUCACGGUGCACUGCUGCACUGCUGCACGUCAACAUUAACCAACCACGCGCAUCAAAGAGGAACUCCGGCAAGAGCUUUGGAGUGGUCCCAUCUGCCCUAACAACGAUUUAGUGUAAAGCUGUUUUCUAGGUGCCAAUAGCAACUCAAAGUCUGUUCUGCUAGGUUUCUCCAAAUACUGCCAGCUACUGUACCUAUUACGCUCACUUUUUUGCUUGUUAGCUCCACAAAAGCCCCGUGCAAAGAAGUUUAAAUCUCUGCCCCGCCUUGGUCAGAGAUACAGUCCUACAAUGUUUUCUCCCUCAACUGUUAUGACUUGUGUAACUACAGACAAAGACUUGAAGGGCAAAGGUGCAAAGAAAAGAAAAACAGAAGAGAUGGCUUUGAUGGCUCUCUCAUAGUCAUGAGCCCCGAUAUUACUGUAGAUCGGAGCGAUUCCGACCUUAUGACCGCGCUUUCUUCUGAUCCCAUUGAGAAAAUAGCUGCGGCACCUGAGGCCCAAGCAGCCCUAAAUGUUAACACAGGGUUCCGUGAGAGGCAUCUUUGUGAGGCAUUGGAUAGUAAGCCUACCUAGAGGUGCAGCGGCCGCAUCAGUGGCUGGGAGGUGACACAUCUGUUGGGCUCUGAGGCGACCCAGCGGUGUGACUGAGCCUUUAGGCGCUCCGUGUAUUUCUUUGGCACAGCAGAGGGAAGCCCCGCAGUGCAGCAGGGCAUCAAAAAAUUACAUCAUACUCUUGUUGUUCCUCUCCACGGAAAUCUUUAGUAAAAGGCGAAAGAUUUAUACGAUCUGAAGAGAAACAAGAGUGAACUGUACUCCGCAACCCUCAGUGUCCACAGCCAUUCCUGGUCGGGCCUUUCUACCUCACGGUGCACUGCUGCACUGCUGCACGUCAACAUUAACCAACCACGCGCAUCAAAGAGGAACUCCGGCAAGAGCUUUGGAGUGGUCCCAUCUGCCCUAACAACGAUUUAGUGUAAAGCUGUUUUCUAGGUGCCAAUAGCAACUCAAAGUCUGUUCUGCUAGGUUUCUCCAAAUACUGCCAGCUACUGUACCUAUUACGCUCACUUUUUUGCUUGUUAGCUCCACAAAAGCCCCGUGCAAAGAAGUUUAAAUCUCUGCCCCGCCUUGGUCAGAGAUACAGUCCUACAAUGUUUUCUCCCUCAACUGUUAUGACUUGUGUAACUACAGACAAAGACUUGAAGGGCAAAGGUGCAAAGAAAAGAAAAACAGAAGAGAUGGCUUUGAUGGCUCUCUCAUAGUCAUGAGCCCCGAUAUUACUGUAGAUCGGAGCGAUUCCGACCUUAUGACCGCGCUUUCUUCUGAUCCCAUUGAGAAAAUAGCUGCGGCACCUGAGGCCCAAGCAGCCCUAAAUGUUAACACAGGGUUCCGUGAGAGGCAUCUUUGUGAGGCAUUGGAUAGUAAGCCUACCUAGAGGUGCAGCGGCCGCAUCAGUGGCUGGGAGGUGACACAUCUGUUGGGCUCUGAGGCGACCCAGCGGUGUGACUGAGCCUUUAGGUGCUCCGUGUAUUUCUUUGGCACAGCAGAGGGAAGCGCCGCAGUGCAGCAGGGCAUCAAAAAAUUACAUCAUACUCUUGUUGUUCCUCUCCACGGAAAUCUUUAGUAAAAGGCGAAAGAUUUAUACGAUCUGAAGAGAAACAAGAGUGAACUGUACUCCGCAACCCUCAGUGUCCACAGCCAUUCCUGGUCGGGCCUUUCUACCUCACGGUGCACUGCUGCACUGCUGCACGUCAACAUUAACCAACCACGCGCAUCAAAGAGGAACUCCGGCAAGAGCUUUGGAGUGGUCCCAUCUGCCCUAACAACGAUUUAGUGUAAAGCUGUUUUCUAGGUGCCAAUAGCAACUCAAAGUCUGUUCUGCUAGGUUUCUCCAAAUACUGCCAGCUACUGUACCUAUUACGCUCACUUUUUUGCUUGUUAGCUCCACAAAAGCCCCGUGCAAAGAAGUUUAAAUCUCUGCCCCGCCUUGGUCAGAGAUACAGUCCUACAAUGUUUUCUCCCUCAACUGUUAUGACUUGUGUAACUACAGACAAAGACUUGAAGGGCAAAGGUGCAAAGAAAAGAAAAACAGAAGAGAUGGCUUUGAUGGCUCUCUCAUAGUCAUGAGCCCCGAUAUUACUGUAGAUCGGAGCGAUUCCGACCUUAUGACCGCGCUUUCUUCUGAUCCCAUUGAGAAAAUAGCUGCGGCACCUGAGGCCCAAGCAGCCCUUAAUGUUAACACAGGGUUCCGUGAGAGGCAUCUUUGUGAGGCAUUGGAUAGUAAGCCUACCUAGAGGUGCAGCGGCCGCAUCAGUGGCUGGGAGGUGACACAUCUGUUGGGCUCUGAGGCGACCCAGCGGUGUGACUGAGCCUUUAGGCGCUCCGUGUAUUUCUUUGGCACAGCAGAGGGAAGCCCCGCAGUGCAGCAGGGCAUCAAAAAAUUACAUCAUACUCUUGUUGUUCCUCUCCACGGAAAUCUUUAGUAAAAGGCGAAAGAUUUAUACGAUCUGAAGAGAAACAAGAGUGAACUGUACUCCGCAACCCUCAGUGUCCACAGCCAUUCCUGGUCGGGCCUUUCUACCUCACGGUGCACUGCUGCACUGCUGCACGUCAACAUUAACCAACCACGCGCAUCAAAGAGGAACUCCGGCAAGAGCUUUGGAGUGGUCCCAUCUGCCCUAACAACGAUUUAGUGUAAAGCUGUUUUCUAGGUGCCAAUAGCAACUCAAAGUCUGUUCUGCUAGGUUUCUCCAAAUACUGCCAGCUACUGUACCUAUUACGCUCACUUUUUUGCUUGUUAGCUCCACAAAAGCCCCGUGCAAAGAAGUUUAAAUCUCUGCCCCGCCUUGGUCAGAGAUACAGUCCUACAAUGUUUUCUCCCUCAACUGUUAUGACUUGUGUAACUACAGACAAAGACUUGAAGGGCAAAGGUGCAAAGAAAAGAAAAACAGAAGAGAUGGCUUUGAUGGCUCUCUCAUAGUCAUGAGCCCCGAUAUUACUGUAGAUCGGAGCGAUUCCGACCUUAUGACCGCGCUUUCUUCUGAUCCCAUUGAGAAAAUAGCUGCGGCACCUGAGGCCCAAGCAGCCCUAAAUGUUAACACAGGGUUCCGUGAGAGGCAUUGUGAGGCAUUGGAUAGUAAGCCUACCUAGAGGUGCAGCGGCCGCAUCAGUGGCUGGGAGGUGACACAUCUGUUGGGCUCUGAGGCGACCCAGCGGUGUGACUGAGCCUUUAGGCGCUCCGUGUAUUUCUUUGGCACAGCAGAGGGAAGCCCCGCAGUGCAGCAGGGCAUCAAAAAAUUACAUCAUACUCUUGUUGUUCCUCUCCACGGAAAUCUUUAGUAAAAGGCGAAAGAUUUAUACGAUCUGAAGAGAAACAAGAGUGAACUGUACUCCGCAACCCUCAGUGUCCACAGCCAUUCCUGGUCGGGCCUUUCUACCUCACGGUGCACUGCUGCACUGCUGCACGUCAACAUUAACCAACCACGCGCAUCAAAGAGGAACUCCGGCAAGAGCUUUGGAGUGGUCCCAUCUGCCCUAACAACGAUUUAGUGUAAAGCUGUUUUCUAGGUGCCAAUAGCAACUCAAAGUCUGUUCUGCUAGGUUUCUCCAAAUACUGCCAGCUACUGUACCUAUUACGCUCACUUUUUUGCUCGUUAGCUCCACAAAAGCCCCGUGCAAAGAAGUUUAAAUCUCUGCCCCGCCUUGGUCAGAGAUACAGUCCUACAAUGUUUUCUCCCUCAACUGUUAUGACUUGUGUAACUACAGACAAAGACUUGAAGGGCAAAGGUGCAAAGAAAAGAAAAACAGAAGAGAUGGCUUUGAUGGCUCUCUCAUAGUCAUGAGCCCCGAUAUUACUGUAGAUCGGAGCGAUUCCGACCUUAUGACCGCGCUUUCUUCUGAUCCCAUUGAGAAAAUAGCUGCGGCACCUGAGGCCCAAGCAGCCCUAAAUGUUAACACAGGGUUCCGUGAGAGGCAUCUUUGUGAGGCAUUGGAUAGUAAGCCUACCUAGAGGUGCAGCGGCCGCAUCAGUGGCUGGGAGGUGACACAUCUGUUGGGCUCUGAGGCGACCCAGCGGUGUGACUGAGCCUUUAGGCGCUCCGUGUAUUUCUUUGGCACAGCAGAGGGAAGCCCCGCAGUGCAGCAGGGCAUCAAAAAAUUACAUCAUACUCUUGUUGUUCCUCUCCACGGAAAUCUUUAGUAAAAGGCGAAAGAUUUAUACGAUCUGAAGAGAAACAAGAGUGAACUGUACUCCGCAACCCUCAGUGUCCACAGCCAUUCCUGGUCGGGCCUUUCUACCUCACGGUGCACUGCUGCACUGCUGCACGUCAACAUUAACCAACCACGCGCAUCAAAGAGGAACUCCGGCAAGAGCUUUGGAGUGGUCCCAUCUGCCCUAACAACGAUUUAGUGUAAAGCUGUUUUCUAGGUGCCAAUAGCAACUCAAAGUCUGUUCUGCUAGGUUUCUCCAAAUACUGCCAGCUACUGUACCUAUUACGUUCACUUUUUUGCUCAUUAGCUCCACAAAAGCCCCGUGCAAAGAAGUUUAAAUCUCUGCCCCGCCUUGGUCAGAGAUACAGUCCUACAAUGUUUUCUCCCUCAACUGUUAUGACUUGUGUAACUACAGACAAAGACUUGAAGGGCAAAGGUGCAAAGAAAAGAAAAACAGAAGAGAUGGCUUUGAUGGCUCUCUCAUAGUCAUGAGCCCCGAUAUUACUGUAGAUCGGAGCGAUUCCGACCUUAUGACCGCGCUUUCUUCUGAUCCCAUUGAGAAAAUAGCUGCGGCACCUGAGGCCCAAGCAGCCCUAAAUGUUAACACAGGGUUCCGUGAGAGGCAUCUUUGUGAGGCAUUGGAUAGUAAGCCUACCUAGAGGUGCAGCGGCCGCAUCAGUGGCUGGGAGGUGACACAUCUGUUGGGCUCUGAGGCGACCCAGCGGUGUGACUGAGCCUUUAGGCGCUCCGUGUAUUUCUUUGGCACAGCAGAGGGAAGCCCCGCAGUGCAGCAGGGCAUCAAAAAAUUACAUCAUACUCUUGUUGUUCCUCUCCACGGAAAUCUUUAGUAAAAGGCGAAAGAUUUAUACGAUCUGAAGAGAAACAAGAGUGAACUGUACUCCGCAACCCUCAGUGUCCACAGCCAUUCCUGGUCGGGCCUUUCUACCUCACGGUGCACUGCUGCACUGCUGCAUGUCAACAUUAACCAACCACGCGCAUCAAAGAGGAACUCCGGCAAGAGCUUUGGAGUGGUCCCAUCUGCCCUAACAACGAUUUAGUGUAAAGCUGUUUUCUAGGUGCCAAUAGCAACUCAAAGUCUGUUCUGCUAGGUUUCUCCAAAUACUGCCAGCUACUGUACCUAUUACGCUCACUUUUUUGCUCGUUAGCUCCACAAAAGCCCCGUGCAAAGAAGUUUAAAUCUCUGCCCCGCCUUGGUCAGAGAUACAGUCCUACAAUGUUUUCUCCCUCAACUGUUAUGACUUGUGUAACUACAGACAAAGACUUGAAGGGCAAAGGUGCAAAGAAAAGAAAAACAGAAGAGAUGGCUUUGAUGGCUCUCUCAUAGUCAUGAGCCCCGAUAUUACUGUAGAUCGGAGCGAUUCCGACCUUAUGACCGCGCUUUCUUCUGAUCCCAUUGAGAAAAUAGCUGCGGCACCUGAGGCCCAAGCAGCCCUAAAUGUUAACACAGGGUUCCGUGAGAGGCAUCUUUGUGAGGCAUUGGAUAGUAAGCCUACCUAGAGGUGCAGCGGCCGCAUCAGUGGCUGGGAGGUGACACAUCUGUUGGGCUCUGAGGCGACCCAGCGGUGUGACUGAGCCUUUAGGCGCUCCGUGUAUUUCUUUGGCACAGCAGAGGGAAGCCCCGCAGUGCAGCAGGGCAUCAAAAAAUUACAUCAUACUCUUGUUGUUCCUCUCCACGGAAAUCUUUAGUAAAAGGCGAAAGAUUUAUACGAUCUGAAGAGAAACAAGAGUGAACUGUACUCCGCAACCCUCAGUGUCCACAGCCAUUCCUGGUCGGGCCUUUCUACCUCACGGUGCACUGCUGCACUGCUGCACGUCAACAUUAACCAACCACGCGCAUCAAAGAGGAACUCCGGCAAGAGCUUUGGAGUGGUCCCAUCUGCCCUAACAACGAUUUAGUGUAAAGCUGUUUUCUAGGUGCCAAUAGCAACUCAAAGUCUGUUCUGCUAGGUUUCUCCAAAUACUGCCAGCUACUGUACCUAUUACGCUCACUUUUUUGCUCGUUAGCUCCACAAAAGCCCCGUGCAAAGAAGUUUAAAUCUCUGCCCCGCCUUGGUCAGAGAUACAGUCCUACAAUGUUUUCUCCCUCAACUGUUAUGACUUGUGUAACUACAGACAAAGACUUGAAGGGCAAAGGUGCAAAGAAAAGAAAAACAGAAGAGAUGGCUUUGAUGGCUCUCUCAUAGUCAUGAGCCCCGAUAUUACUGUAGAUCGGAGCGAUUCCGACCUUAUGACCGCGCUUUCUUCUGAUCCCAUUGAGAAAAUAGCUGCGGCACCUGAGGCCCAAGCAGCCCUAAAUGUUAACACAGGGUUCCGUGAGAGGCAUCUUUGUGAGGCAUUGGAUAGUAAGCCUACCUAGAGGUGCAGCGGCCGCAUCAGUGGCUGGGAGGUGACACAUCUGUUGGGCUCUGAGGCGACCCAGCGGUGUGACUGAGCCUUUAGGCGCUCCGUGUAUUUCUUUGGCACAGCAGAGGGAAGCCCCGCAGUGCAGCAGGGCAUCAAAAAAUUACAUCAUACUCUUGUUGUUCCUCUCCACGGAAAUCUUUAGUAAAAGGCGAAAGAUUUAUACGAUCUGAAGAGAAACAAGAGUGAACUGUACUCCGCAACCCUCAGUGUCCACAGCCAUUCCUGGUCGGGCCUUUCUACCUCACGGUGCACUGCUGCACUGCUGCACGUCAACAUUAACCAACCACGCGCAUCAAAGAGGAACUCCGGCAAGAGCUUUGGAGUGGUCCCAUCUGCCCUAACAACGAUUUAGUGUAAAGCUGUUUUCUAGGUGCCAAUAGCAACUCAAAGUCUGUUCUGCUAGGUUUCUCCAAAUACUGCCAGCUACUGUACCUAUUACGCUCACUUUUUUGCUCGUUAGCUCCACAAAAGCCCCGUGCAAAGAAGUUUAAAUCUCUGCCCCGCCUUGGUCAGAGAUACAGUCCUACAAUGUUUUCUCCCUCAACUGUUAUGACUUGUGUAACUACAGACAAAGACUUGAAGGGCAAAGGUGCAAAGAAAAGAAAAACAGAAGAGAUGGCUUUGAUGGCUCUCUCAUAGUCAUGAGCCCCGAUAUUACUGUAGAUCGGAGCGAUUCCGACCUUAUGACCGCGCUUUCUUCUGAUCCCAUUGAGAAAAUAGCUGCGGCACCUGAGGCCCAAGCAGCCCUAAAUGUUAACACAGGGUUCCGUGAGAGGCAUCUUUGUGAGGCAUUGGAUAGUAAGCCUACCUAGAGGUGCAGCGGCCGCAUCAGUGGCUGGGAGGUGACACAUCUGUUGGGCUCUGAGGCGACCCAGCGGUGUGACUGAGCCUUUAGGCGCUCCGUGUAUUUCUUUGGCACAGCAGAGGGAAGCCCCGCAGUGCAGCAGGGCAUCAAAAAAUUACAUCAUACUCUUGUUGUUCCUCUCCACGGAAAUCUUUAGUAAAAGGCGAAAGAUUUAUACGAUCUGAAGAGAAACAAGAGUGAACUGUACUCCGCAACCCUCAGUGUCCACAGCCAUUCCUGGUCGGGCCUUUCUACCUCACGGUGCACUGCUGCACUGCUGCACGUCAACAUUAACCAACCACGCGCAUCAAAGAGGAACUCCGGCAAGAGCUUUGGAGUGGUCCCAUCUGCCCUAACAACGAUUUAGUGUAAAGC